UAGGGAAUCUUUGGCAAUGGGGGGAACCCUGACCGAGCAACGCCGCGUGAGUGAAGAAGGUUUUCGGAUCGUAAAGCUCUGUUGUUAAGGAAGAACGAGUGUGAGAAUGGAAAGUUCAUACUGUGACGGUACUUAACCAGAAAGGGACGGCUAACUACGUGCCAGCAGCCGCGGUAAUACGUAGGUCCCGAGCGUUGUCCGGAUUUAUUGGGCGUAAAGCGAGCGCAGGCGGUUAGAUAAGUCUGAAGUUAAAGGCAGUGGCUCAACCAUUGUAGGCUUUGGAAACUGUUUAACUUGAGUGCAGAAGGGGGGAGUGGAAUUCCAUGUGUAGCGGUGAAAUGCGUAGAUAUAUGGAGGAACACCGGUGGCGAAAGCGGCUCUCUGGUCUGUAACUGACGCUGAGGCUCGAAAGCGUGGGGAGCGAACAGG
rnacentral:rRNA from 1 species